GAUGAACGCUGGCGGCGUGCCUAAUACAUGCAAGUCGAGCGAACAGACGAGGAGCUUGCUCCUCUGACGUUAGCGGCGGACGGGUGAGUAACACGUGGAUAACUUACCUAUAAGACUGGGAUAACUUCGGGAAACCGGAGCUAAUACCGGAUAAUAUAUUGAACCGCAUGGUUCAAUAGUGAAAGACGGUUUUGCUGUCACUUAUAGAUGGAUCCGCGCCGCAUUAGCUAGUUGGUAAGGUAACGGCUUACCAAGGCGACGAUGCGUAGCCGACCUGAGAGGGUGAUCGGCCACACUGGAACUGAGACACGGUCCAGACUCCUACGGGAGGCAGCAGUAGGGAAUCUUCCGCAAUGGGCGAAAGCCUGACGGAGCAACGCCGCGUGAGUGAUGAAGGUCUUCGGAUCGUAAAACUCUGUUAUUAGGGAAGAACAAAUGUGUAAGUAACUAUGCACGUCUUGACGGUACCUAAUCAGAAAGCCACGGCUAACUACGUG
rnacentral:rRNA from 1 species